rfam:Penicillium oxalicum 114-2 unplaced genomic scaffold scaffold_6, whole genome shotgun sequence.
ACAUACGACCAUAGGGUGUGGAGAACAGGGCUUCCCGUCCGCUCAGCCGUACUUAAGCCACACGCCGGUCAGUUAGUAGUAUGGUGGGUGACCACAUGCGAAUCCUGACUGUUGUAUGUU